rnacentral:misc_RNA from 1 species
AGAGAUAUCAUAAGCAAGCUCCAUAUGGUCGACCGUGAGUCUUAUUGUCAAUUUCAGAAACUACAAAAUUCACUUCAUGCUCUAUCUCUAUUUUUACUCACACUACCUUACCCUACAAACAUAUAAAGCUCAGACACCUAUUAUAAUGACUAGAUCAUAGGAAACAAUAAUCAUCCCCACUUUUAUGGGGGACCUUUGGAGGUUAUAUGAAAAAGAAUGAGAUGAUCACAGUGAUUAAGAAACAAAAUACAAACAGCAAAAAAUAUGCUGUGUUAGUUCCAAGUCAAAAUAGACUCUAACCAAUCUGAUGUGAAUUCAUAAGCUACAAAUGUUACAGCACCAGCUGGUGCAGCCUUGAUGGUUGAUGGUAAAAUGCCCUUAUAAAGGCCAGCCCAACCCU